UCUUGCCACGCGACCGUCUUUGCUUCGAGUGGCUGAGCGUUGGUCUUUUCAGAGUCUUCCGUACCAAGAUAAGCAUGGCGCGUCCCUCCGUGGGAUUUGUGUGGCUAGCGAUCGUCCUCCAGCCCGAGACCACUCAGGCCACCGCCGCGGCCGAUCCAUCAGCGGGACUGCGGCUAUCGCCGCCAGGCUCGUGAUGCUAGCCCCGAAUACACCUCACGACACUACUGCUGCCUCCAUGGGGCUUGUGAUUCCAUGACCUCGGACUCCACGGCUGCUGUCCGGGAACUGCCUGCGCAGGACGUGGCUCAUGCUCCAGAGGGUGCUUCCGCAAUGCCGGGCGCCUCCCCAUCGUAAGAGCCCACCGGACUUAAGCUGAUGCUCGUCGGUGCAGUGUGCUGACCCGCCGGGCCUCCUCCUCUAACCUGGCCGAGUCCCGACGACCCGCAUAAGGUCCUCUUUCAACUCAACGAUGGGGACAAGGAUGCACAGUGGAAGAGGCUCGUUAACAACGGGGCGCUUUCCUAGACCCAGCUGGAGGAGGCGCAGUCCUCGGUUGCCUCGGCGUCCUAUGAUCAUCAAAGCAUUUUGAGCGCUCUUGAAGAAGAUCCUGCCCGCGGCGCACAAUCUGUGCCAGGUGCAAUCGCGGAGGGAAGCUCUUGCGACCGCCUGAUCCGCGAUGGAGUCUAUCCAUGUGGUGGCCGACGCGGCCAAGGCAUCCAUUGCUGAGGCCGCUCACGAGGCCGACGCCGCAAAAAAAGGCGGCAGCGGAGGCAGCAGUGCGAGAGAAAGAGCUCGGCAUCUCGAAGAGUCAAAGCAGCUGGCUGUGAUGCAGGAGGCCUAGCUCCGGGCCUCGAGGGCUGAGUCGGAUGGUAAGCGUCCACCAUUCCCGCCUCGCGGGCGUGGUAGGGGGGCCGGAUUCACCCCUUUUCUUCUUCUCCUUAGUUGUUGAAUUUUUGCCAGACCUUCACCUGGAGGUGGGUGCAGCACUGACUGAGAAGCUCCUCGAGGCAGAGCAAGAGUUGUCUUCUCUCCAAGGCGCAGCCGGCGCUCUCUGCAGCCACAUGCUUGGAGGCGGGCCAGACUCUAGGGCUUCGGCGGCUCGGCUUGAGGCGGUCGGGGGGCACGUCGUGAUGCUUAUCAUAGAUGGCGUCUUCAUCGGCGUGCAUGCAUCGUUCACGGCCACGGCCUCAUGUUUUGAAGGUGUGGACUACGCGGUCAUGUCAAGUGGCUAUGUGAGGGGGGCGGUGUGACAGCUCGUGUACUUGUAAUGCUAGGCAAAUAUUUUGUUAGUGUGAAAUAUAUGUUUGUUUGUAUAAA